rnacentral:snoRNA from 1 species
CCCAUGGAUGAAAAGGAUCUAGUUGCUUAUAUUUUAAAUGGAUUAGAUGAAGAUUUUGAACCCAUUGUUUCUGUUGUUGUGGCUCGGAAUGAUUCAGUCACAAUGGCGGAAGUGUAUUCUCAACUUCUUAACUUUGAGA